rnacentral:rRNA from 1 species
CGAAUGCUGACGUGAGUAACGACAAAACGGGUGAAAAACCCGUUCGCCGAAAGACCAAGGGUUCCAGUCCAACGUUAAUCGGGGCUGGGUGAGUCGACCCCUAAGGCGAGGCCGAAAGGCGUAGUCGAUGGGAAAAUGGUUAAUAUUCCAUUACUUCUGUGUAAUGCGAUGAGAGGACGGAGAAGGCUAAAUCAGCCUGGCGUUGGUUGUCCAGGUGAAAGGAUGUAGGCAUGUAUCUUAGGCAAAUCCGGGGUACUCUAUGCUGAGAUCUGAUAGCAAGCUGUACUUGUACAGCGAAGUGGUUGAUGCCAUGCUUCCAGGAAAAGUCUCUAAGCUUCAGUUACACAGGAAUCGUACCCGAAACCGACACAGGUGGUCAGGUCGAGUAGACCAAGGCGCUUGAGAGAACUCUGCUGAAGGAACUAGGCAAAAUGGUACCGUAACUUCGGGAGAAGGUACGCUGUUGUUGGUGAUGGAACUCGCUUCCUGAGCUGACGACAGCCGCAGAAACCAGGCCGCUGCAACUGUUUAUUAAAAACAUAGCACUCUGCAAACACGAAAGUGGACGUAUAGGGUGUGAUGCCUGCCCGGUGCUGGAAGGUUAAUUGAUGGGGUUAGCGUAAGCGAAGCUCUUGAUCGAAGCCCCAGUAAACGGCGGCCGUAACUAUAACGGUCCUAAGGUAGCGAAAUUCCUUGUCGGGUAAGUUCCGACCUGCACGAAUGGCAUAAUGAUGGCGGCGCUGUCUCCAGCAGAGGCUCAGUGAAAUCGAAAUCGCUGUGAAGAUGCAGUGUACCCGCGGCUAGACGGAAAGACCCCGUGAACCUUUACUGCAGCUUGACACUGAACUUUGACCUUACUUGUGUAGGAUAGGUGGGAGGCUUUGAAGCUGGAACGCUAGUUCCAGUGGAGCCGUCCUUGAAAUACCACCCUGGUAAUGUUGAGGUUCUAACUCUGUCCCGUGAUCCGGGACGAGGACCGUGUCUGGUGGGUAGUUUGACUGGGGCGGUCUCCUC